rnacentral:miRNA from 1 species
GCUGUGGGCAUCUGGCACUGUGGUCCCUGAAUGAAAACAGCUGGUGGGGGCUGGACCUACAACACGGCCUCUGCUGUCACAGUCAAGUCUGCC